rnacentral:rRNA from 1 species
UACGAAGGGGGCAAGCGUUGCUCGGAUUGACUGGGCGUAAAGGGCGCGUAGGCGGUUCGUACAGUCAGACGUGAAAUUCCUGGGCUCAACCUGGGGGCUGCGUUUGAUACGUGCGGACUUGAGUGCGGAAGAGGGUCGUGGAAUUCCCAGUGUAGAGGUGAAAUUCGUAGAUAUUGGGAAGAACACCAGUUGCGAAGGCGGCGACCUGGUCCGAUACUGACGCUGAGGCGCGAAAGCGUGGGGAGCAAACAGG